rnacentral:rRNA from 1 species
GUCGAGCGGACCGACGGGAGCUUGCUCCCUUAGGUCAGCGGCGGACGGGUGAGUAACACGUGGGUAACCUGCCUGUAAGACUGGGAUAACUCCGGGAAACCGGGGCUAAUACCGGAUGCUUGAUUGAACCGCAUGGUUCAAUCAUAAAAGGCGGCUUCGGCUGCCGUUUACAGAUGGACCCGCGGCGCAUUAGCUAGUUGGUGAGGUAACGGCUCACCAAGGCGACGAUGCGUAGCCGACCUGAGAGGGUGAUCGGCCACACUGGGACUGAGACACGGCCCAGACUCCUACGGGAGGCAGCAGUAGGGAAUCUUCCGCAAUGGACGAAAGUCUGACGGAGCAACGCCGCGUGAGUGAUGAAGGUUUUCGGAUCGUAAAGCUCUGUUGUUAGGGAAGAACAAGUACCGUUCGAAUAGGGCGGUACCUUGACGGUACCUAACCAGAAAGCCACGGCUAACUACGUGCCAGCAGCCGCGGUAAUACGUAGGUGGCAAGCGUUGUCCGGAAUUAUU